rnacentral:rRNA from 1 species
AUUGAACGCUGGCGGCAGGCCUAACACAUGCAAGUCGAGCGGAUGAAGGGAGCUUGCUCCUGGAUUCAGCGGCGGACGGGUGAGUAAUGCCUAGGAAUCUGCCUGGUAGUGGGGGAUAACGUCCGGAAACGGGCGCUAAUACCGCAUACGUCCUGAGGGAGAAAGUGGGGGAUCUUCGGACCUCACGCUAUCAGAUGAGCCUAGGUCGGAUUAGCUAGUUGGUGGGGUAAAGGCCUACCAAGGCGACGAUCCGUAACUGGUCUGAGAGGAUGAUCAGUCACACGGGAACUGAGACACGGUCCAGACUCCUACGGGAGGCAGCAGUGGGGAAUAUUGGACAAUGGGCGAAAGCCUGAUCCAGCCAUGCCGCGUGUGUGAAGAAGGUCUUCGGAUUGUAAAGCACUUUAAGUUGGGAGGAAGGGCAGUAAGUUAAUACCUUGCUGUUUUGACGUUACCAACAGAAUAAGCACCGGCUAACUGCGU